AGUAGGAAGAGGAUAAGAAUAGAAGAAAAGAGAGUGAGAGAUAUCAGGAAGAAAGAGGAAAAGAGAAAGAGGAAGAAGAGGAGAAGAAGAGGAAGGAAGAAGAUGAAGGAAGAAGAUGGAAAUCUCAGGAAGAGCAUGUUCAUCAUCUUCAUCAUCUCAUCUUCAUCAUCAACAACUUCAUCAUCUUCUUCUACUAGGUAUUCUUUACAGGUUGGAUCUAAGAGAAACUGUUAUGGAUGUUUCAAGAGUUGCUGUUUAGCAUAAUCUUCCGCUGUGGAGUUGUGUGCAAUGAAGAUAUUGUACAUAGUUCUUAGAUUUUUAUUGUGUAGGCAUUAUUGUAUAACAUGUUCCAGUGAUGUUUUAGUUUGGACAUGUAUACAUAUUGAUGCCAUUAGGCACUUAUGUUGUGACAGUACCAAAAUUUAACA